rnacentral:tRNA from 1 species
ACUUAUAUAGUAUAAUAAUUAUAAUUGACUUCCAAUCAAUAGAUCUAAUUUUAGUGUAAGUA